rnacentral:rRNA from 1 species
UGCAUGUCUAGUAUAAAUUCUUGUACGAUGAAACUGCAGACGGCUCAUUACAACAGUGAUAAACUGCUAGACUUUCGGGUUUUUAACCUUUUGGAUAACCGCAGUAAAUCGGGGCUAAUACAUAGAAGCGAUGGGUGACUGGCAACGGAAGCUCAGCGAUUAUUAGCAUUACUACCAAUACCUUCGGGUCUUGUGGUGAAACCGAAUAAUAUUGCAGAUCGGGGAUUUAUCUUCGACAAGUCUACUGUGUCACUGCCCUAUCAACUUUCGAUGGUACGGUAUUGGCCUACCAUGGUUGUAACGGGUAACGGGGAAUUAGGGUUCGAUUCCGGAGAGGGAGCCUGAGAAAUGGCUACCACUUCUACGGAAGGCAGCAGGCGCGCAAAUUACUCAAUCCCAAUACGGGGAAGUAGUGACAAUAAAUAUCAAUACCUAUCCUUAAUUGGAGGGCAAUUGAAAUGAACACAAAUUAAAACUCUUAAUUAACACAAUUGGAGGGCAAGUCUGGUGCCAGCAGCCGCGGUAAUUCCAGCUCCAAUAGCAUAUACUAAAGUUGUUGCAGUUAAAAAGCUCGUAGUUGAAGUUAAAGUUUUAUUGGACUCAAGUUUUUUACCACUCUGGUGGCUAAAAUAACUCCAAUAAUUCUUUUUUUAAUAGCUCAGUUUCUAGGUCUUUGACUCUAGUUAUUUGGGCAUUUCACUGUGAGAAAAUUGUGGUGUUUAAAGCAGGCGUCUCGUCUGAUCUUUUGCAGCAUGGUAUGAUGGAACAUGACAUUUUACG